CCUACGGGAGGCAGCAGUGGGGAAUAUUGCGCAAUGGGCGAAAGCCUGACGCAGCGACGCCGCGUGAGGGAUGAAGGUCUUCGGAUCGUAAACCUCUGUCAGCAGGGAAGAACGGUCACUGUGCUAAUCAGCAGUGAAUUGACGGUACCUGCAAAGGAAGCACCGGCUAACUCCGUGCCAGCAGCCGCGGUAAUACGGAGGGUGCGUGCGUUAAUCGGAAUUACUGGGCGUAAAGCGCUCGUAGGCGGUAAGUCAAGUGAAGGGUGAAAUCCCCGCGCUUAACGUGGGAACUGCCUUUGAUACUGGGAAGCUGGAGUGUGGUAGAGGAUAGUGGAAUUCCAGGUGUAGGAGUGAAAGCCGUAGAGAUCUGGAGGAACAUCAGUGGCGAAGGCGACUAUCUGGCACAGUACUGACGCUGAGGAGCGAAAGCGUGGGUAGCAAACAGGAUUAGAUACCCUAGUAGUC
rnacentral:rRNA from 1 species